GAUGAACGCUGGCGGCGUGCCUAAUACAUGCAAGUCGAGCGAACGGACGAGAAGCUUGCUUCUCUGAUGUUAGCGGCGGACGGGUGAGUAACACGUGGAUAACCUACCUAUAAGACUGGGAUAACUUCGGGAAACCGGAGCUAAUACCGGAUAAUAUUUUGAACCGCAUGGUUCAAAAGUGAAAGACGGUCUUGCUGUCACUUAUAGAUGGAUCCGCGCUGCAUUAGCUAGUUGGUAAGGUAACGGCUUACCAAGGCAACGAUGCAUAGCCGACCUGAGAGGGGGAUCGGCCACACUGGAACUGGGACACGGUCCAGACUCCGACGGGAGGCAGCAUUAGGGAAUCUUCCGCAAUGGGCGAAAGCCUGACGGAGCAACGCCGCGUGAGUGAUGAAGGUCUUCGGAUCGUAAAACUCUGUUAUUAGGGAAGAACAUAUGUGUAAGUAACUGUGCACAUCUUGACGGUACCUAAUCAGAAAGCCACGGCUAACUACGUG
rnacentral:rRNA from 1 species